UCUAAACCACCAGGGCUUUUAGCUGGCUUAAGUCAGUCUAUCUACUCUCAGUCCUGCUGAGUUUAAAGUAUUCCCCCCUUCCAGCUCCACCAAGACAGAACUUCACGAAUCUUCUCCACGUAUCACCCUCAAUUGAGGAUUAGUUUAUGAUGAGCAAGCAGGCUGGUCUCUGGCCUCUCAGACUUCCAAGAGUGAGCGUUUGUGUCUUUCUGCAGAGGUCAGGAAGCACCGCAAAUCAACGCACCUGCCUGAGACCGGUCCUGAAACACGUGGUUUAUAUCGAAUUCCAUUUGGACUUUUAAGAGCCGAAAGAACUCUUGAGAUAAGAAAAACAUCUAUGAAAAAUAUAAUAAAACGAACUCAAAAAUAAAUUCUAACUAGCGUGUGAUGGAAAAAGUCGGUUGGGCAAAAACCAGAAGGCACGUUGGGUCACAGGACUAGGACAGGAACCACAGUCGAGGGACUCGUACACCCGGAUUAGCAGUCGAUGGUCAGGUGGUACAGACGCUGCAGGCAAGGAGAAAGACGACUCCUGAUUACGUCUUGAAGAACAACGAAAAGUGGAUUUGAUACUCGUGGACUGUUUGUGGUCACUCCUACGCUUCCUGAGCCCAGAGUCGGAAUAGAGCGCAUACACAGGAGGGGGGUCCCACAUUGCAGGAACAUGGAGGCAGCAUGUCAAGAAUGUCAGAGAAAUGCAAUCUGGAGCUUUUCAGACCUCUGACUUGGAGCGCCACUGAUUCAUCAGCCUGCGGGUCCAGGAAGUAACUCUCCAGCAAUUGUGAAUUAUUACUAAAUCUACUUGAUGGUCCUCAUCAUGUAUUACCUGUGUACUGGAUGAUUUUGGCCGCCUUAAAAAAAAAAUAAGUUGUCAUGGAAAUCACUGAGCUAGCUAGGCCAUCGUCAGUCUCUGCCAGCCAUGUGUCAAAAUUCUAAAAAAAAAAAAUACAAAAUACAUUUUUUAAAUGUCCUUUUCCUAUUUGUAUCGUAUAGAUUGUACAGAAAUAAAGAGCCUGCAAGUGGAAAAGAACUCUCAUGUGUUUUGCACCGCCAGUCAGUGACCAAUACAUGCUAGUGGCUAUAGGGGACUAAACUUUGCUUUCUGAUGC